rnacentral:rRNA from 1 species
AUUGAACGCUGGCGGCAGGCCUAACACAUGCAAGUCGAGCGGAUGAAGGGAGCUUGCUCCUGGAUUCGGCGGCGGACGGGUGAGUAAUGCCUAGGAAUCUGCCUGGUAGUGGGGGAUAACGUCCGGAAACGGGCGCUAAUACCGCAUACGUCCUGAGGGAGAAAGUGGGGGAUCUUCGGACCUCACGCUAUCAGAUGAGCCUAGGUCGGAUUAGCUAGUUGGUGGGGUAAAGGCCUACCAAGGCGACGAUCCGUAACUGGUCUGAGAGGAUGAUCAGUCACACUGGAACUGAGACACGGUCCAGACUCCUACGGGAGGCAGCAGUGGGGAAUAUUGGACAAUGGGCGAAAGCCUGAUCCAGCCAUGCCGCGUGUGUGAAGAAGGUCUUCGGAUUGUAAAGCACUUUAAGUUGGGAGGAAGGGCAGUAAGUUAAUACCUUGCUGUUUUGACGUUACCAACAGAAUAAGCACCGGCUAACUUCGCG